GUGAGUCAUCGAAUCUUUGAACGCACAUUGCGCCCCCUGGUAUUCCGGGGGGCACGCCUGUUCGAGCGCCAUUUCGACCCUCAAGCCCCGGCUUGGUGAUGGGCUUCCGCCGCGCGGGCGGGCCCGAAACCCGUAGGGCGUCGCGGCAGCGGGCUCUGAGCGUAGCAAGAGAGCGCGAAGCCUCCCUCGCUCCGGAGAACCCUCUCCACGGCCGCCUGGAGAAAAAUGACCCACCGCCGGCGAAAGAGGGGGCUCGACCCCCCCGUUCGCCGCUGAAAGGUUGGCCUCGGAUCAGGCGGGGAUACCCGCUGAACUUAAGCAUAUCAAUAAGCGGAGGA
rnacentral:misc_RNA from 1 species